AUUGUCCAAAAAUCCGGGAUCACUUACGCCGAGCACCGAGACGAGUCCUAUGAGGACGAAGUGACUGACACCACGCUUCCAGGAAAAGCCACUAAGCUUCAGCUUAAGAAAAACCGUACCGCAAACCGACACAGGUAGGCAGGGUGAGAAUCCCAAGGCGCUUGAGAGAACUCGGGUGAAGGAACUAGGCAAAAUGGCACCGUAACUUCGGGAGAAGGUGCGCCCUUUGGUGUGGUCACGUGCGUGACUGAGCAUCGAAGGGUCGCAGUAACCUGGCCGCUGCGACUGUUUAUCAAAAACACAGCACUCUGCAAACACGAAAGUGGACGUAUAGGGUGUGACGCCUGCCCGGUGCUGGAAGGUUAAUUGAUGGGGUCAGCCGCAAGGCGAAGCUCUUGAUCGAAGCCCCAGUAAACGGCGGCCGUAACCAUAACGGUCCUAAGGUAGCGAAAUUCCUUGUCGGGUAAGUUCCGACCUGCACGAAUGGCGUAACGACAGCGGCGCUGUCUCCACCCGAGACUCAGUGAAAUUGAAAUCGCUGUGAAGAUGCAGCGUUCCCGCGGCAAGACGGAAAGACCCCGUGAACCUUUACUAUAGCUUUACACUGAACGUUGAGUUCUUCUGUGUAGGAUAGGUGGGAGGCUAUGAAACCAGGACGCUAGUUCUGGUGGAGCCAUCCUUGAAAUACCACCCUGAAGUGCUUGACGUUCUAACCUAGGCCCGUAAUCCGGGUCAGGGACCGUGUAUGGUGGGUAGUUUGACUGGGGCGGUCUCCUCCCAAAGAGUAACGGAGGAGCACGAAGGUACGCUCAGCGCGGUCGGACAUCGCGCACUGUGUGCAAAGGCAUAAGCGUGCUUGACUGCGAGAUCGACGGAUCAAGCAGGUACGAAAGUAGGUCUUAGUGAUCCGGUGGUUCUGUAUGGAAGGGCCAUCGCUCAACGGAUAAAAGGUACUCCGGGGAUAACAGGCUGAUACCGCCCAAGAGUUCAUAUCGACGGCGGUGUUUGGCACCUCGAUGUCGGCUCAUCACAUCCUGGGGCUGUAGCCGGUCCCAAGGGUAUGGCUGUUCGCCAUUUAAAGUGGUACGCGAGCUGGGUUCAUAACGUCGUGAGACAGUUCGGUCCCUAUCUGUCGUGGGCGUUGGAGAUUUGAGGGGGGCUGCUCCUAGUACGAGAGGACCGGAGUGGACGUUCCGCUGGUGUUCGGGUUGUCAUGCCCAUGGCAUUGCCCGGUAGCUACGAACGGAAGUGAUAACCGCUGAAAGCAUCUAAGCGGGAAGCACGCCCCAAGAUGAGAUCUCCCGAGAGCUUGACUCUCCUAAAGGCACCAUCAAGACUAGGUGGUUGAUAGGUCAGGUGUGGAAGCGCAGCAAUGCGUUGAGCUAACUGAUACUAAUGAGCCGUGAGGCUUGACCG
rnacentral:rRNA from 1 species